UAUGAUAAUUAUUUAUGUAUUCUUAUUUCUUUGUGUGUUUAUGUUUCAACUCCAAUUUGGUAGGUGGGGGAAACAGCUGGUAGCUAGAACAUAUUGCUAGCAAGUGAUAUAAUGUGAUGCUGAGUUGAAUAAAAGAGUGGGGUAAGUUCGAAAGCCAACACGAAGACGGCCUUCCUUUGUUCAAAUCCAUGAAAGGUGUGUAAGUGAAGAGAAGGUAUUAAUUGGUGUAUAUCUAACAAAAAACACAAUUAAAAAAAAAGUAGCGUGCGUCACUAUGGAGACAAAACAACGGAACGUGGUAUAAUAAUGUUUCCUAGUUUCAACGUUCCAAAGAUUCAAUGCACAGUUGUCAGCUGUUCAGUUCAAUAUGGAUUAUAUAUAAUAGCAUAGUAUUCCCGUCAGUCAGUGGAUAGAAAACGUAUUCCUCUCAAAACAACAAUCAACAAUAACAAUAACAAAUAAUAAAGGAAUAAAAUUUCUAUAAAUUAGAAUCAGAUAAUAAGGAUAAGAAUAUCUGUUAAUUCAAUUAAAGUAAUUGCUUUAUGCAAAGUCUAGUGCGCAACGUUGAUGUAUUGACGCAAGGACUUAAAUACAGUAUAUCUGGACUCAUGAACCUCGCAAAUCAAACUACUGAAUCUCAGAGUGGUGCUUUCUUUGUUAAUUUUAAUCAAGACUGCACAUCAUUAUCAGUUGGCUCUAAGGCUGGUUAUAGAAUUUUUUCUGUGAAUUCAGUAGAUUAUUUGGAGAAUAUUUAUGAAAAUGACACUGACGACAUUUGCAUUGUCGAGAGACUAUUUAGCAGUAGUCUUAUCGCCGUGGUCACCUAUUCUUCCCCAAGGAAACUUAAGGUCUGCCAUUUUAAAAAGGGAACGGAAAUAUGUAACUACAGUUAUUCAAACACAAUUUUGGCCGUAAAACUUAAUAGAGCGAGACUAGUAGUCUGCUUGGAAGAAUCUUUAUAUAUCCAUAAUAUUCGGGACAUGAAAGUAUUACACACGAUCCGUGAUACUCCGCCUAAUGUAGCAGGCCUCUGUAUACUUUCAAUAAACAGUGAUAAUUGUUACUUGGCCUAUCCUGGUUCAAAUACAACAGGCGAGGUUCAAAUAUUUGAUGCAAUUAAUCUUCAAGCCAAAACUAUGAUUCCUGCUCACGAUAGUCCACUUGCAGCCCUGGCUUUCAGCCCUACUGGCACUAAAGUAGCCACGGCAUCAGAAAAAGGAACUGUAAUCCGAGUAUUUCAAAUUCAUGAUGGAGCCAGGCUGUUUGAAUUUCGUCGAGGAGUUAAGAGAUGUGUGUCAAUCAGUAGUUUGGCGUUUAGCAUGGAUUCAAUGUUUUUAUGUUGUUCCAGUAACACUGAAACUGUACACAUAUUUAAAUUAGAAGAAUCGAAAGAACCCCCGAAACAAGCUCCUGAUGAAGCGCAAUCUUGGAUGGGUUACUUAACAAAAGCUGUCUGUGCAUCAGCCAAUUAUUUGCCAUCACAGGUGACUGAUGUAUUUUAUCAAGGUCGUGCGUUUGCCAGUGUUCAUCUACCUUUUCAAGGAUUAAAAAACGUCUGUGCCAUCACUAUGAUAGAAAAAGUACUGAGGUUAUUAGUGGCUAAUGCAGAUGGAUAUCUUUAUAUUUACGAUUUUGACCCUGAUGAGGGAGGUGAUUGUACACUAAUUAAACAACAUCGACUAGAUGGUAAACAUGAUGAAGUGAAUUGUGCAACGACGUCGAAUACAGGUCCAGAUGGUGAAGCUACAACAGCCUCUGCAACUCCUGCUGCCCUAAUAGUACAAAAUCAAGCCUGCAUAAAUAGCUACGCGGGUGCAUUGCGCGGCCGCUCGCCAGACUCCAUGUCAGGUACUGAGUCAGAAAAGUAUCAUGAAAUGAUAGCAGCUACAGAGAGUCCACCGAAGGGAGGCGGGCCCUUCCGACUCGAUGAUGACACUGAAUUUCCUCCAGUAACACAGCGUACAGAUUGAACACUUGAAUGUGAUACAUAUCAAAAGGCAUUCAGCUAAUCAACUGGAUUAUAUUUGAAUUAUAAAAAAUUUUUUAUGGAAAAAUGCAAACAAAAAAAUGUGAUAUGGCGAAAUGGAAUUUAUGAUUUUAAGAGGAAUAUGCAAUCAUCUGAACUUCAGAUCAAUCUUUGUAUAGAAAAUAGGAAAGAAGGUGAUAUAAAAGAAAAAGUUGAAAACAAACAAACAAACAAACAAAAAUAAGAAAAGUAAUUUUAAAAAAAUUGUCACAUUUUCGUGUCGAUUAAUUGAAUGUUAGAUUAUAUUUGUAUGUGGACGACUCAUGAAUGGUGCCAAUUAAUGAGUUCCAUCCGUACUUUAGCAACAACGACGCGCUUUCAACAUGAAUUCUAUUGUAAAUUAAAUGCAAAUAGGGCCCAAAACUUUUGGUAUCUGUUAAUUGUAUGAAUAAUUAAAAUGAAUUUUUCAAUUGUAUACAAAAUAAUGAUAUUGUACACAAAACUAAAAGUUAUAACAAGUAAAAAAGAAAUUUUUAAAAAAUCUAGCUUAUAUUAAAAAUACUAGAUGCCACAAAUGUAAUAAUUUGGACAUUUUUAUAUUUAUGCGUCGUUUUUAGUAAAGAUUUACUUUUAUAAAUAUAAAACAAAGUACUAAUAACAAUUCAUGUAAAUAUAUUACGAUUGUUUGUGUAUUGUCGAUACAUGAUAUAUUAUAUAUCAUUAUCAUCGUUGGAAUCUUUUGAUUCUUAUCAAUAGAGACAUGAAUAUACUAAUAUAUAAUUUAUCAUUGAAUCCUUUCAAUACAAUCUUUUUUAUUUAUAUAAAUUCCAUUGAAAUGUACUAAGGCUAUUUUCCUUCUAAAUUUUGUAUAAAGUCAUUAGAGAUGAUAGCCAUAUAUUUUCACACUGAAUAAUUUGUUUUUCAUGGUUUUUGUAAAGCAUGUCAUUCACUAAAGAAAUCAUUGAAUACAAUUGUCUUAUAAUAAUUAUUACUUUUUUAUUUUGUAAAAUCAUAUUUUGAAUCAUUAGAAAUAAUUAUUUCAAUUACGCAGCUAGAGCGUGUUGUGAAUUUAAUUAUUUUAUUUUUAUUUAUAAUAUUACUAGCAAUGAACAGUGGAAAAUAACAGUGAAGACAUAACAAAAGGGUCUAUCAAGGUUUAUAAUCUCUUUGAUUACAGAAAAUAAUAUAAAUGAAUUAUCUAAAAAAAAUGAGUUAUGAUAAGAUGCUUGUAGUUACAAUUUUUUAGUUUAAGUUUUUGUUAAUGAAAAAAAAA